UAACACACAUUUUUUUGCAGUCGUCUCAAUACUUGAUCGACCGAACCAAAUGUGUCUCGAAUCGCUUGCCGUUAACUCACCUUGUAACCGCAAUGAAAACGAAGUGCAAAAACAAAAACGAUGCGGUCGUAUUCGCUGCUUCCGUCUUAAGAAAUUAAAAUGUAUGAAAUUCAAUGGAAAUCUGAUUAUAGUAAGCAAUUACCUCCAACAACAUUUAUGUAGUAAACUGAGCUUAAAUGCCGAUAUAUAAGUAGCGAAAAGCAGCUUACUAGUUCCAGCCGUAAUUUGGAUUGUGACAUGAAUUUAGCGAAGAGUUUAAUUACUUUACUACCGCCAUCAAGAACUGCGCUGAAGUGGAAAUGAGUAAUUCGCUAAAGAUAUCAUUAACUUCACUGACAGAAAAAGUAGCUGAUCUUUAAUUUCUUAACUAAAUGAAGAAAUUUUGUAAAUCUGACAAAACACGUCAACACUUUAGACGCUAUGUUUAACUAGCAGAUACAAAUUUUAUUGCUAAAAUAGUACGAUCAAAAUUUGUAAAAAGUGUUUAACCCAGGAAAAGAUCUUGAACUUUCAGAUUCUUAAACAACAAUUUUGUAACUAGUGAUGCCACCUUUACUUGAACUUGUGGAUUAAAAUAACUAAUGACAAAUCUUUGGACUAAACUGAUGUCAAGUUUAUUGACUACUCUAUGGAAUAGCCCAUUGACUAUUUUUGUUCACAUAAUAUAACAUUUAACGUAAUCAUGUGGCGCUCUGUUUAGAAUGCUUUUCAAAUCAUCCAAGGUCAAGUCAAAGAUUGAAAAGUAAAAACUUCUGUAUAGUCCCGACAGUCUUGAGGUAUUGAUAGCAUCUCUUUACACAAGAUGGAAUCUAGCAUUAAGGAAACCUUUCCAGACGAACGGACGGAUAUAGCUAAAUCGAUACUUGUGAUGCUCUUAUUAGACCGCUUUUCAAAUCAGCCAAGGUCAAGUCAAAGAUUGAAAUGUAAACACUAGUUUAUAGUCCCGACAGUCUAGAAGUAUUGGUAGCACCUCUUUAUCCAAGAUGGAAUCCAGCCUCAAGGAAACAUUCCCAGACGAACCAGAUUAUGUGGCGCUCUGGUUAGAAUACUUUUCAAAUCAUACAAGGUCAAUUCAAAGAUUGAAAUGUAAACACUAGUUUUUAGGCCCCACAGUCUUGAGGUAUUGGAAACACCUUUUUACCCAAGAUGAAAUCUAGCAUCAAGGAAACAUUCCCAGACGAAUUAGAUUAUGUGGCGCUCUGUUUAUAAAGCUUUUCAAAUCAUCCAAGGUCAAGUCAAAGAUUGAUAAGUAAAAACUUCUGUAUAGUACCGACAGUCUUGAGGUAUUGAUAGCACCUCUUUACACAAUAUGGAAUCUAGCGUAAAGGAAACAUUCCCAGGCGAAUCAGAUUAUGUGGUGCUCUUGUUAGACCGCUUUUCAAAUCAGCCAAGGUCAAGUCGAAGAAUGAAAUGUAAAAACUAGUGUAUAGUCCCAACAGUCUUGAGGUAUUGGUAGCACCUCUUUAUCCAUGAUAAAAUCUAAACGGCUACACCGAAUGUUAAAACUUGCACAGUGUAUUCCUGUAUAUCUGGAAGAGGAUAUGGGCUACUUUUUACUCUACUUUUUGUGAAUUAACUCCCGAUGUACUCACCCAUCUUUAUCACCAUAUACUUAUUAAUUUGUUUUAUUAUUCAUUAUUUUUGUUAUUGUUUAACAUAAUAAAACUGGUAUAACCCAAAUGAUAUCAGUGUCAUGAAAUCACAAUUUAAAAUGAAUAUAUUUUAUUUAAAACUGGAAAUAAAUAAUACAUGCAUAUUA